AUUGAACGCUGGCGGAAGGCCUAACACAUGCAAGUCGAACGAGUGGCGGACGGGUGAGUAAUGUCUGGGAAACUGCCCGAUGGAGGGGGAUAAAUAAUGGAAACGGUAGCCAAUACCGCAUACCAUCGGAUGUGCCCAGAUGGGAUUAGCUAGUAGGUGGGGUAAAGGCUCACCUAGGCGACGAUCCCUAGCUGGUCUGAGAGGAUGACCCGCCACCCUGGAACUGAGCCACGGUCCACACUCCUACGGGAGGCAGCAUUGUGGAAUAUUGCACAAUGGGCGCAAGCCUUAUGCAGCCAUGCCGCGUGUAUGAAGAAGGCCUUCGGGUUGUAAAGUACUUUCAGCGGGGAGGCGUUACCCGCAGAAGAAGCACCGGCUAACUCCGUGCCAGCAGCCGCGGUAAUUC
rnacentral:rRNA from 1 species